rnacentral:rRNA from 2 species
UACGAAGGGUGCAAGCGUUACUCGGAAUUACUGGGCGUAAAGCGUGCGUAGGUGGUUCGUUAAGUCUGAUGUGAAAGCCCUGGGCUCAACCUGGGAAUGGCAUUGGAUACUGGCGACCUAGAGUGCGGUAGAGGGUGGCGGAAUUCCCGGUGUAGCAGUGAAAUGCGUAGAUAUCGGGAGGAACAUCCGUGGCGAAGGCGGCCACCUGGACCAGCACUGACACUGAGGCACGAAAGCGUGGGGAGCAAACAGG